AUUGAACGCUGGCGGCAGGCCUAACACAUGCAAGUCGAACGAGUGGCGGACGGGUGAGUAAUGUCUGGGAAACUGCCCGAUGGAGGGGGAUAACUACUGGAAACGGUAGCUAAUACCGCAUACCAUCGGAUGUGCCCAGAUGGGAUUAGCUAGGAGGUGGGGUAAUGGCUCACCUCGGCGACGAUCCCUAGCUGGUCUUAGAGGAUGACCAGCCAAACGGGACAGUCGACACGGGCAAGAUUCCGACGGUAGGCAGCAGUUGGGAAUAUUGCACAAUGGGCGCAAGCCUGAUGCAGCCAUGCCGCGUGUAUGAAGAAGGCAUUCGGGUUGUAAAGUACUUUCAGCGAGGAGGCGUUACUCGCAGAAGAAGCACCGGCUAACUCCGUGCCAGCAGCCGCGGUAAUUC
rnacentral:rRNA from 1 species